rnacentral:sRNA from 1 species
ACCGGAGGAGGAGGAGAUU